rnacentral:rRNA from 1 species
CUGGCGGCGCGCCUACACAUGCAAGUCGAACGAGAAAGGGGAGCAAUCCCUGAGUACAGUGGCGUACGGGUGAGUAACACGUGGAUGAUCUGCCCCUUAGUGGGGAAUAACCCUGGGAAACCGGGGCUAAUACCGCAUAAGCUCGAGAGAGGAAAGCAGCAAUGCGCUGAGGGAGCGAGUCCGCGGCCGAUUAGCUAGUUGGCAGGGUAAAAGCCUACCAAGGCAGAGAUCGGUAGCCGGCCUGAGAGGGCACACGGCCACACUGGCACUGAAACACGGGCCAGACUCCUACGGGAGGCAGCAGUGGGGAAUCUUGCACAAUGGGGGAAACCCUGAUGCAGCGACGCCGCGUGAGCGAUGAAGCCCUUCGGGGUGUAAAGCUCUUUCGGCAGGGAAGAUGAUGACGGUACCUGCAGAAGCAGCUGCGGCUAACUACGUGCCAGCAGCCGCGGUAAUACGUAGGCAGCAAGCGUUGUUCGGAGUUACUGGGCGUAAAGGGUGUGUAGGCGGUUGUUUAAGUUUGGUGUGAAAUCUCCCGGCUCAACUGGGAGGGUGCGCCGAAUACUGAAUGACUCGAGUGCGGGAGA